GAGAUGGUCAAGGAGAGCGCAAGACAGGCGAGAGGAUAUAUGAUUACGACGUUUACAACGAUCUUGGCAGCCCUGAUAGCAGCGAAGACCUAAAAAGACCCGUUCUUGGCGGCGAAGAGCGCCCUUACCCUAGACGUUGCCGAACAGGAAGGCCAAGGUGCAAGAAUGAUCCACUUUCGGAGUCGAGGGACGGCAACUUCUACGUGCCUCGAGACGAAGAAUUCUCAGAAGUAAAGGGGCUGACGUUUUCGGUGAAGACAGUUGACUCGGUAUUGCAUGCAGUGAUUCCCUCGUUAGAGACGUCAAUUGUAGAUUCUAACCUUGGAUUCCCAUACUUCGCCGCAAUAGAUUCGCUGUUCGAUGAAGGAAUCAAUUUGCCUCCUCUUACCAAACAAGGGUGGAGAAAUAUCCUUCCCAAUCUUAUCAAGGCUAUCACUGAUGAGGCUAAAGACUUGUUGCGAUUUGAUACCCCUGCAACAAUGGCCAAAGACAGAUUCUUUUGGCUCAGAGAUGUGGAAUUCGGUCGCCAGACCGUUGCUGGCCUCAACCCAUUGAGCAUACAAUUGGUCACGGAAUGGCCACUAAAGAGCGAACUUGAUCCUGAGAUCUAUGGCCCGCCAGAAUCAGCAAUCACCACAGAAACUAUUGAGCAAGAAAUUAGAGGUUUUAUGACAGUUGAGGAGGCUAUAAAGCAAAAGAAGCUCCUCAUCCUUGACUACCAUGACUUGUUUUUGCCAUUUGUGAGUAAAGUAAGACAGAUUGAGAACACCACGCUAUAUGGGUCUCGGACACUCUUCUUCUUAACCCCAGAUGAUACAUUGCGGCCGCUAGCCAUCGAGCUUACUCGCCCACCCAUGGACAGAAAACCACAGUGGAAGCAAGUUUAUGUACCAACUUGGCAUUCCACCGGUGCUUGUCUUUGGAGCCUAGCCAAAGCUCAUGUCCUUGCACAUGACUCCGGCUAUCACCAACUUAUUAGCCACUGGUUAAGAACACACGCUUGCACAGAACCGUACAUAAUUGCAGCCAAUCGACAACUUAGUGCCAUGCAUCCGGUCUAUAGAUUAUUGCUCCCUCAUUUCCGAUACACAAUGGAGAUAAAUGCUUUGGCUCGUAAAGCGCUCAUCAAUGCUGGAGGGAUUAUUGAGUCUUCAUUCUUUCCUGGAAAGUAUAGUAUGGAGAUGAGCUCUGUUAUUUAUGAUAAGCUGUGGAGGUUUGACCAUCAGUCACUUCCCAAUGAUCUAAUUAGCCGGGGAAUGGCUGUUAAAGAUCCAUCUGCUCCACAUGGUGUAAGACUAACAAUCCAAGACUAUCCUUUUGCAAAUGACGGACUACUUUUGUGGGAUGCCAUUAAAAAAUGGGUGAGUGACUAUGUGAAUCAUUACUAUACAGACCCAAGUCAGGUUUUAUCCGAUGAAGAGCUCCAGUCAUUUUGGACAGAAGUUCGAACUGUAGGCCACGGUGACAAAAAGGAUGAGCCAUGGUGGCCUGAGCUAAAAACACCCGCUGACCUGAUCGAAAUCAUCACAACAAUUGUAUGGGUAACAUCAGGUCACCAUGCAGCAGUGAACUUUGGACAAUAUGAAUAUGCAGGAUAUUUCCCAAAUAGACCUACAGUUGCUAGAAUGAAAAUGCCAACUGAAGACCCAACUGACGAAGAGUGGAAAUUCUUUUUGGAAAAACCUGAAGUCAUACUUUUAAGAACAUUCCCUUCACAGGUUCAGGCAGCAAAAGUGAUGGCUAUUCUGGAUGUGCUAUCGAAUCAUUCUCCUGAUGAGGAGUAUCUUGGGGAGGCAAUAGAGGCAGCCUGGAGUGAGGAACCUGUUAUAAAAGCAGCUUUUGAAAAGUUCAAUGGGAGGCUGAAGGAGAUAGAAGGAAUUAUUGAUGAAAGGAAUGCUAAUGUGGAUUUGAAGAACAGAAGUGGAGCUGGCAUUGUGCCUUAUGAACUUCUAAAGCCAUUCUCUGAGCCUGGGGUUACGUCGAAAGGAGUUCCUUACAGUAUCUCCAUUUGAGCGAGGCUUUAAUCUGUUUUCUCAUCUUAAAGAGAAAUUAAUGGUUCUGAGGCCCAAUGCGUGGCAUUGCCUUUUCAUGCAUGUUCAGAAUCCUGUGAUACUAGCCUUAAUUCCUUGUGAUAUUAAUAAGUGGGGUAGCUACAGUUGAAUGCGACUUCCUCAGUUUGGAUUUUUAAUCUAUUUUAUAAGAAAAAAAAAAAGAAAUAAAUGCUUCUGAUUUGAUCAAUGUAUUCAGCUUCAUGAUCUCUUGU
rnacentral:misc_RNA from 1 species